GAUGAACGCUGGCGGCGUGCCUAAUACAUGCAAGUCGAGCGAACAGACGAGGAGCUUGCUCCUCUGACGUUAGCGGCGGACGGGUGAGUAACACGUGGAUAACCUACCUAUAAGACUGGGAUAACUUCGGGAAACCGGAGCUAAUACCGGAUAAUAUAUUGAACCGCAUGGUUCAAUAGUGAAAGACGGUUUUGCUGUCACUUAUAGAUGUAUCCGCGCCGCAUUAGCUAGUUGGUAAGGUAACGGCUUACCAAGGCAACGAUGCGUAGCCGACCUGAGAGGGUGAUCGGCCACACUGGAACUGAGACACGGUCCAGACUCCGAAGGGAGGCAGCAGUAGGGAAGCUUCCGCAAGGGGCGAAAGCCUGACGGAGCAACGACGCGUGAGUGAGGAAGGUCUUCGGAUCGUAAAACUCUGUUAUUAGGGAAGAACAAAUGUGUAAGUAACUAUGCACGUCUUGACGGUACCUAAUCAGAAAGCCACGGCUAACUACGUG
rnacentral:rRNA from 1 species